rnacentral:rRNA from 1 species
GACGAACGCUGGCGGCGUGCUUAACACAUGCAAGUCGAACGAAAAGAGGGAAAGAGCUUGCUCUUUCCGGAAUUGAGUGGCAAACGGGUGAGUAACACGUAAACAACCUGCCUUCAGGAUGGGGACAACAGACGGAAACGACUGCUAAUACCGAAUAAGUUCCAAGAGCCGCAUGGCCCAUGGAAGAAAAGGUGGCCUCUACCUGUAAGCUAUCGCCUGAAGAGGGGUUUGCGUCUGAUUAGCUGGUUGGAGGGGUAACGGCCCACCAAGGCGACGAUCAGUAGCCGGUCUGAGAGGAUGAACGGCCACACUGGAACUGAGACACGGUCCAGACUCCUACGGGAGGCAGCAGUGGGGAAUCUUCCGCAAUGGGCGAAAGCCUGACGGAGCAACGCCGCGUGAGUGAUGACGGCCUUCGGGUUGUAAAACUCUGUGAUCCGGGACGAAAAGGCAGAGUGCGAAGAACAAACUGCAUUGACGGUACCGAAAAGCAAGCCACGCA